UUGGAGAGAAUGACAACUAAUUCUAAUGAAAACGAAUCAGCAGAUGGGGGUCAAUUGGAUAAAUUGGAUGAUUCAACUUCAGUCUGACACUUUGUUAUUUAUUGAUAACCCUGGUACAACAGGUGGACCCCCCCUGCAUAACGGCCGCAGCAGCAGCAGUGGAAACAGCCGGGGAGGAGUGACGAUCCGUAAGAGGCGCCCCAACUGGAUCGAUGCCCCUGAUGACAGCUUCUUCCUUGUUACCCGGGAGACCAGGUAAGCAAAGGAGGGCCAGGCGGCUGCUGUCCCGCACCCAGCUGAGGCACGCUUGUCGGCAGCCAUGCGAGCAGAUCACCUUGCGCAGGGUCCCACAGGGCCUGCCGCAGGGGCUGGUACUCGCCCCUCCGCACCCUCACCCCAGCCUGAGGAUGCGAGGCCCCAUCGUCAUCCACGACUGACCCUACACUGACCCUCUGACCCCCCUGCUGCAUACAUACUAACAGAUUCUCACCUCAUAUUCUAUCAUUAAGUUCCUUUAUUCCUUUAAAACGUCGUAAUAAUCCUGAACUCUAAAAUAAGCUGGCAACAGAAGGAUGUAAUGAGCCGUGAUGCAAUAGAAACACCUGACCUGACUGCAAGUGCUGCCUGAAUUUAUUCCUGGGAAUGUGUUUUCAAGUGUAAAUACUAUAUUUGGGUGCAUGCAAGUGUGUGGCAGAGAGAGAGUGUGCGUGUGUGCGUGCGUGUGUGUGUGUGUGAGAGCGAGGGGAUGUUGAGCCAUGUGCUGUUCUUAGUUUUUUAUGGUUGGACAUAACGACGGAUCUUUCAUGUGACUUCUUUGUGUUGAUCGUGAAUUGUUGUGAAGUUUUAUCAGUUUGUUUAAAGUUAUUUUGGGUGGGGGCAUGGGGUUGGAUUAUGAUUA